GCCCCGUGGGCACCGGAAUCACGCUGCACGAAAGUGCCGGGCGGGGAGGCCGGAGGGGCAGUGAGGAGAGUGGUCGCGCCCUUAUGAGUGGCGAGAGGACGGGCUGCCGACGAAGGAGUUGUUCCCUAGUGCGGGGCGCGCGGGGCUGGCCGCUCCUCCUCCUCUUCCCGCCACUCGGGUUGCUGACAGAGAAUUCGAGUCCUCGGACACGCAGCAAUGAGCAGGGCGGUAAAAAUGUCAGCCUGACGUGCUCAGGUGGAAAACGGCGUGGAAGGUACGAUGGCGUGUGGUUAACUUGACGCUGCGUGGCAGGAGAACGAGCGGCUCGGCCCGUGGAGCGGGGUGGCAUGGCAAGGAAAGCGGUGUCACCCACGUCCAUUGUUUCCAAUCGAGCAGUUCCACGUGCAUCUCUUACUGGUGCAACGUUUCGAUCCUUACUGCCUGGCCUUCCAAAUACAAAUGGAGUAGUCAGCUCAUCUGCCUGUGAAUAUCAGAGUGAGAACUUGCAGACGUUCGAUGGUAAAACGUGAGUGCUGUGAGGCACUGCUCUGUGUGUGAGUGCCUCUGGUAGCACAGACUGAAGUGCAGCGAAACUGCCAACCUCCUGACUUCUCUGCCAGGAAUGUAAAUCAACAUUAAAGAUGAUUUUUAAGAGAAAUAGCAAGUUAAACAUUUGUACAAACACAUCAUCAAAUAGAGGUUGCACCGCCUCUCUCUAAACCUCUUGCCUGCUGGCAAAAAUAAAACUGUUCCAGUGACAUUUUCCCUGCUCUGCUGUGACAAGGGCUGCAUAAAUAUAGACACCGUGGAUUAGAAUAGACUUCAGCAAUCUCCAUCUUCCUUUCUAGCAGCCGCUUCUGCAGUUUCCCAUAGCUAUGGGUGAAAAACAGGGAGCCUAAGGGCAAAUCCUCUGCUACUAUCAGGAGCUGAAGAGGUUGCUGCUCUUUGCCAAGAAAGUAUAGUCAGGUUGCUGUCACACAUAGGACAGGCAAGGACUGAUAUCCAGGGCCAGCAGGAGUGAUGCUUCUCUUGUGUGCGUGGCACUUCAAAAUUUGGGAUCCUAUGGGCCUCAACAACAGCUUUUCUCUGAGUGCAUUUCACUUCUCAUCAGCAGGCAGCUGAAAAAUUGGUCUCACACGGGUUAUGUGUGGAAAGCAGAACAAUAUGCCAAGACAAGAUGAAACAGAUGUUUCAGGUCUCCGUUACAAUUCAGACAGAAAUCUAAAUCAGCUGAAAACAUCAGAACAAAAUGCUUUGUAGAUUCCUUUUAGGAAUGUGUGCAGAGAUCACCAUCCCUUGGUAAAGCAAGUCAUCUGGAGCUCUGGGAACCUGGCGUCCCACAGACUGGAUUCCAAACUUGCUGGAGAUAUUUGUGUAAAUAGGAUUGUUGACACAGAAUAUCACGAUGUAUCUCCAAGUUGUGCUGUAUUUGUAUUCGUCCUUGUAUUCCAGUGAAAGGUUUAUCUUUCUGAAUUAGACUUUCUUAGAGCCAAUUCCAAAAUUAGAUGUAGAGAAGGACCAAUAACUUCAGUAAAAAAGAUGAAGGGUCACCUCCUCCCUACCCUUACAGGCAGGACAUGACAGAUGCCAGUUAGAACAAUUUUCUACUAAAAAAAAUGAGUUUUGAGAGAACAAAUAUUUUCAUAGAAAGAGUUUGCUUUCCUCCAAAUAUGACUCCCUUUCAUAAACCCCAAAGAUUUAAAAGCAAAAGAGAUUUGAUUGUUGGCAGUUUGGGGAUUCUUCCCCUCCCUUUCCCCCAGCAUUUUCCAAUGGAAAAUAUUCAGGGUUUGGGUUUUUAGCCCUUUGCUAAAAUGUCAACAUUUUCCAAAGGCUGAAGGAGGGAAAAAGAGAAGAAAAGAAAAACAUGUUCUGACCAGCUCCAGUCAGAGCCAAAUGGCUCAAUUCUGGGUAUGGUCAGGGAAGUAUGCUGGAGGGGAGAAAAUGGGAGCGCCUUGGUUCCAAGCGCAGUCUGGGCUGAGGACUGUGUAUCACAAUCCAUUUGUAUGAGUCAUUCCAGUCGACAUUUCACCAGGGGAGCAUGUGUAGUGGCUUUUAAGCACUUCAGGUCAAUAUGUUACUUGCAAACACUGCCUCACUGCUUACUACAGUCACUCUGGCUCUCUGUGUGCAUGUGGGAUGUGCACAGGUACACUGUGUUCAAGUCCUCCAAUAUUUCCAUGACGUCUUUAACUCACAGAGGUAACAAUAAUACCUGGCACCUAUCCAGACCUGUGAAUUCAGCUCUCCCCCAUACGUAAAGAGGAGAAAGCAGUAGAACUAAGCCUACAAAAGCCUUGGACAGCUAUGGAACUGGGAGAAGCACUGGUAGAACAAAGUUGACAUAAAGGCAACUAAACUACUCAUGCAUGUGCAUGCACCAUCCUGCUUUUAGUGGAAAAGAAAUGGCUUCAUUUCUCCAAUGUGCUGCUGGUCCCCAGCUGCUUCCUCAGUCUCCAGAAAGCUGUCCCAGCAUUUGGGCACCUUCAAAUCUGAUGAAGAGAAGGACUACCUUUGCUUCUGCCUCUCCAAGGCGUCUCCCAGAGCUGAAAUGAGAGAGCUCUUGUAUGGAAGACCCAGACUAGGUCUUUGUCCCCCUCUAGUGACUUGACUGCAAAAGAAGUUUUCUGAAUACUACCUCCGAGCAAGACAGUCAUUACUUUAGGCCAGGAUGUUGAAUGGUUUCCUUUUCAAAGGCUAGUAGGAUAUCUAAGCAUCAUGGGAAGGUCAUAUAUUUAUACACACUGAAACAUUAUCCAUUAACAACAUAAACAGUAAUUAGGAACUUGACUUUCUGCUCUAAUAAGCUGUGUGUGCCUGCUUUCCUCUCAUGGAGGAUGGCAGUCACAGACUUCACAUGACAUCCAUGUAAUCCUCCGGGAGACCUCGCUAGGUUCACUGUCACCAGAGAAAGAGCACGCAGAGGGACUCCUGUAACCAAACACUUGCUGAGUCACAGCUCAGUCACCCCUGUGCUUAGCAAGGCAUGCCAGCCAUCUGUCACCAGCACAUCCUCCUCACUGCUCUGUGACUCUGCGGGGAAAACAACAGGAGGCAGAUUACAUUGACUGAGAAGCCAGGCUCUCGUGCAUCUUGACUCUGAGUAAUUCCUGCCUUGCCUUCUAACCAGUGCUAAAGCCUUUGGCUCAUCUUCGUUUGGCCCUUUGUCGGGGAAGAUAGUAACAUUCAGGUUCAAACAUUGAGCGCUUUGGCUGACUAAUGAGUGACUCCAAACAAAGCCUGCUCUGGCAAGACAUUGAUAGUGUUGUGCAAAGUGUCCCUACUACAGACGAGUCAUCUACACUGGCCUCCUCACCAGUACUCUAAGUAAACCAGAGUGUUCAAAAAAAAAAGCAGCAAAAUAGAGGGAACCCUGUUUGCUACAGACUUGUGUCCCAACUAUGCCCAGUAAACAGCAUGUGAGCAGAGAUCCUAUUCUGUCUCCUGUCCUAAGUGACCUCCCUCCCGUGU